ACACGUAAGGGGCAAGCGUUGUUCGGAAUUAUUGGGCGUAAAGGGCGCGUAGGCGGUUUUACAAGUCUGGUGUGAAAGAUCUCAGCUUAACUGAGGGACCGCGCUGGAAACUGUAAGACUAGAAUCUAGGAGGGGAAGCUGGAAUUCCUGGUGUAGGGGUGAAAUCUGUAGAUAUCUGGAAGAACACCGGUGGCGAAGGCGAGCUUCUGGCCAUAGAUUGACGCUGAGGCGCGAAAGCGUGGGGAGCGAACAGGAUUAGAAACCCCAGUAGUCC
rnacentral:rRNA from 1 species